rnacentral:tRNA from 2 species
GAGAAUUAGCUCAGCUGGGAGAGCAUCUGACUUUUAAUCAGAGGGUCAGAGGUUCGAAUCCUCUAUGGCUCA